UACAGAGGUCUCAAGCGUUGUUCGGAAUAACUGGGCGUAAAGGGUGCGUAGGUUGCAGCAAAAGUCGUCUGUGAAAGCUUGGGGCUCAACCUCAAAACCGCAGUUGAUACUCUGUUGCUAGAGUGCAGGAGAGGAGGUUAGAAUUCACGGUGUAGCAGUGAAAUGCGUAGAUAUCGUGAGGAAUACCAAAGGCGAAGGCGGACCUCUGGAAUGCAACUGACACUGAUGCACGAAGGCCAGGGGAGCGAACGGG
rnacentral:rRNA from 1 species